GACGAGAUGCUGCUUGGAAUUAGAAAUGAAAAACCUUCGGUGGCGAACAACAGGCACUAAUAGGCAGCUGCCCGCAUAGCGCCUGCGUAGUAACAAGUUAAGUCCACGGAUUGAAGCAAGGAUUUCUCUCUCAUACGCAUGGACAGGAAGGCAUGAGAUAGAAUAAUAGCAAGCACCAAAUGGCAUCGCAACACGAUUGUUAUUGAUCGUCGCUUCAAAUACGGCCUUUACCUUGCUGCAGGACCCUGUAAACUGUAGAUUUAAAAAUAGAAAAAUUGACAUUUGAGAAGCUCUUUUCGACUACUUUUGCAAAAAUUAAACGUAACAAUAACUUUGACAGUUUGGUAAGGACACAUGGACAGAUUAUACAAAGCUGCUACAACUUAGGAAAAAGAAACUGACCUCAGUUGCCCCAAGAACAGGUGGUGAUGUGCCAAUCGAUUCGUUCCAUCGGUGCUUUGUAUUCAGCUAACGCAAGACAACAGCGUAACGUGAGUUACUAAAUUAUUCAUUAAGCCUCAUUAAAUUCUGCGAGGGCCAAGCUGAUGAAAAACAGACAGUUGCGUUGUCAGACUUUGCAACAUACUUCGUAGUUCUCCACCCGAUAAAUCACGAACGCUAAUGCACGAUACGAGUGCAAAACAUCCAAUACGACGCGGAGCAAAAUUUAAAGUGAAACGGCUACAGCGCAAAGAUCUUGUUUAGCAUGCGACUACCGAAUUCGGAAUUCAAAAUACCAUGUUAGAACCCUAUUGCAGGAACUCUUGUCGUUUCCUUUGUGACCAUGGACAUUUUAAGGGACACGAAAAGUCAAGCCCAGUAAGCCACUGUCGAGGAAUUUCGGAAAUUUUACAUUUGUAGAGAAGAACCCACACACCGUAAAUACAUUUUUUCAUUCGUUUUGUCUAUUACAUUGAUAUCAUACACAUGUACAAAUGUUUUUGCCGUUCAGCAACGAGGCUCGAUGACACCAUCACGUUUUAACACGGUCACACACAUGCAUCGAAAAAAAAAAAAAAACACAAAAAAAGGACAUGAUACUUUGAAGUCAAAUAAAAAUCUUGUGGUAUACAAAUAGGGUAGAAAACGUGGCCAGUUAGGAGAGCGGAAGGUAUGUAAGGAAGGGAGAUAGGAAAUAGAAGCGAAAAUUAUUAAUGACAAUAUUGUAAGCAAUUUAUGAGACGGAGCAAACCAUCUGAUUAUCUAUCCGCGGUUAACGAUUCAAGUGCCAAGAUCAAAUUAUUUUCAAAUUAUUACCUUUUUUUUUUAAAGGUGUUCACACUACAAAGUCUUGUAAGGUUGAAUGUUUAGUAAGUGUUACUACUUUUUUUUUACCGUAUAACGCCAAUAUUAAUGGGAAAACAAAUUAAACCCCCUCGCUGAAAACUACAAAAAAAAAAGAACAAACUCUCUGAAGAGG